GGCUCAGAACGAACGCUGGCGGCGUGUUCACACAUGCAAGUCAAACGAACCUUCGGGUUAGUGGCGGACGGGUGAGUAACUCUUUGACCCAUCUGCCCUCAGGAGGGGGAUAACGGUUGGAAACGACCGCUAAUACCCCAUAUGCCGAGAGGUGAAAAGAAAUUCGCCUGAGGAUGAGCUCGCGUCUGAUUAGCUAGUUGGUGUGGUAAUGGCGCACCAAGGCUUCUAUCAGUAGCUGGUCUGAGAGGAUGAUCAGCCACACUGGGACUGAGACACGGCCCAGACUCCUACGGGAGGCAGCAGUGGG
rnacentral:rRNA from 1 species